UUAUGAGUGAAAACUGACACGAUAUAAAUCUGGUUUCUCUCACCAUAGAGUGCAUCUCGGCAUACAUUGCAGUAGGUGGGCCUGGCAUGAGUUGUAGCAUACCAGUGAUGUUCACCACUGAGAAAUUCAGUUGUUCCUUGCUCACCUUUUGCCCUACCUUCCCCUCCAGUUCUCGGGGCAUUUAACCAUUCCUCCAUAUCUUGUAUCUUCUAACCACAAAUAACAAACGAGGGAUAUGGUUUUAUCACCUGCAAGGUCAAAACAAGUGCAAGUCAACACAAAUGAACUCAAAUAUAAGGCUCCACACGGUUGUAGGCUUCACUACGGGAGGGCCACGCUUCACUUGUAUUGUUUAUAUAGGUAAGUAUACGUUAAUAUCCGUUGACAAAUACUUCAGUGACAAUAUAUAGUAGCAAACAGAUGGGAUCAACUAAUAAUUGAAUACCUCAGUGGCCACCAAAUGCUGAUGAAUUAUUAAUCAGCAUGAUGUAUUGCUAACACCAGGAUAAUAUGGGACCUGGAGCAAGGGCAAUAGAUACUCGGUUUUUAUGAAAACAUAGGGUUGCUAAUAAUUUCUCAAAUUUAUACUGAAUAAAUAAGUUUUUUAUGCUCUAUGUUUUGUCAUGAGGAAGUUCAAUAUGAGGAUGCAUUAGUUAAUUCCCUUCAGAUGUGUGGCCUUUGUGAAACAACAAUUAUUAUGAAAUAACGAGGAAGUGAGUAAUACAAGUGAAAGGGUUUGAGGAGUCUCUGAAGCAUUUCGAAAGAAAGUAGAUGUGGAAAAAUUUCAAUACCUCUGAAAACGCAAAAAAUUAAAAACUUAAUUCGCCUCUUUAGCUCAGUGGUAGAGCACUGGUCUCGUAAACCAGGGGUCGUGAGUUCAAACCUCACAGGAGGCAGAUGUUUUUUUCCAUUUCGUUUAGAUGGAGAAAAAAAUAUUGAUUAAGUCACGUAGUGAUUUUAGAAUUUUGCUUCAAUGAUGAUUAUUCAUUACUUUUAUUUAGAUUUCACAGGAAGAACUGAGAACGGAGCAUCGAAAAUAUUUUGAUAAAAAAUAAAAUUAAAAGGAAGAAAAAAUUUUCAAUCAUCGUGAGGAUUUUAGUGUCCCCUCAGUGAUGGGAUUUACUGCGAGGGUAGUUUGAGGUCAUUUGGAAACCACAAGUUUAAUAAAACUCGUAUCUCUGAAGCUUUACUGCCGACUUAUCAAUCAACAAAGGACAUUAUAUCCCCUUUUCUCUUUAAUCCGAGGGUGAUUUAUGACUCACUUCAGUUUAUUGAUUGAUAAGGUAUUAACAACGCAUGGGAGACUGAUAUUUUAUCGGAAUUUUCGUUUCCAAAUAACUGUCUUGUAUGUCUACUCCGCAGUUGGACACCGUCUCUAUGAAUGGCUGAGUUAUUUCAUGUCAAGUCGGUCAACCCUUGACCUUCCCAUUCCUAAAUUUAAACAGACCGAAGAGUAUCUGGCAUUUAUUUGGAAGCUGGCUACCCCUAUGGAAUUACUAGAAAUAGCACAUUUCUACCCUACGGAAGUAAAAUCAAGGAAUCGUGCGCACGUGCGGAAUUAUCACCCGAGCUGAAGACAAGGGUAGUAAGCACGUGGGUAAGGGUUCUUUAUCCUAUUUCCACUGGUUAGAACGAUAUUUUUUGCCAGGGCGUAGGCACAAGGCAGGAAACCGCACUGAAAAUCAGCGUCAGUGCUGUAUCCAUUCUAUGGUCCGAAUGAAAUUGAAUCUGGGAAAAGAAAUAACUGCCAGAAAAUCGUUACAAUAAUAAUAAAAAUAAUUUUUACAACAUUAAAUUUUCGUGGGCAAUCACAUUAUUAUGACAUCAAACUGCUCCGCCCGUUAUAAUAAAGAUCGAUAAACCGUUCGCUCGUUUCCUGCGAUUAAAUUCAGCCAUUCAGAUUAAAAUUAAAAAUUUUGUUGUCCCCGUGAAAAAAAUAGCUAUUGCAUUAUUAUCUCCGGUAUCAUCUAGUAUUUAAGUGAGUAAACACCACUGUUUACAUAUGUUGAAACAGAAUGGUAAAAAAAAUACAAUAAUACCGAGGAUUAUAAAGCUUAUUCUAUAUCUUUCGGAAAUUUCAGGAUCUUUUUCAUUUAUGUCGAUCCUAUUGCUUACUCUCCACGUCAUACUCUCCAUCACUUUUCCAUUACACUCAAUUUGGGAUGGAUAGGGAUAAGAACGAAAUCCAAUCAAGCCCACAAAUACCGUGUGCAAUAUUGACUAGCGUUAGGCACAUGAUAGCCCACCGACCCUAACGCAAUUAUCUUGAUCCGUGGAGAUUUCCUUGUCAAUAACCGGCUAACACACACAAUCCCUUUCUCUCACAUAUGCAUAGAGCGGAAGAGCUGUUCCCCUAAAUGUCUUCCAAUAAAUUAAUGAUUUUAUUGAGGGAUUUCUUUAAGCUGACUUUGCGCUUAUGUUGGGGCGAAAAAUUGUAUUUACCACGAGAGGUAAAAUAUAAGACCCUUACUCAUGAAGUGACCACCCUUACUUUGGUCAUUCUUGUAGGCGAGCACGACUCUAUUAUUUCUCCCCAGAUUAAAAGUUCACUAUUCUCUAUGUGCAGAACAUUGACUUUGAUGCUGUCUCAACGGAAAACAUGUUUAGUCCAUUUAAAUGACUUAUUACUCUUACUAGUUACUUGAAAGAAGAAUUUUGGAGAGAGUUCCCUAAUUAAUUUAAAUUUCUGCUAAUAGAUGUUCAGCGUUCAGAUACAUUAAGAGCUCUGCGAAAUCGGAAAUUUCAUUAUGCCCUCUGAAUCGCAUUAACCCUCACUCUCCUCAAAAUUCAACAAUAUAUUAGAAUUUCUUAUAUAUACACAGAGAUGAUUUAUUCGCUGAAGAAUUUCGUAGAUGCCAGAGGGAAUAUUUUCCUUCUUUUUUUUCUAUGCCAUUCACGUGUCACUGAUGGAUUAAACGAUAUAAAAGUGGCCCUUCGCUGAUAACCCAACAAAAAAACCCUCUGAAUCUUCCUAAAGGACACGAGGACAAGCGUAGAGGAGUGAGAUUUUUCUCGUCAUCAUGAUGAUGCAACCAAUUUCCAACAUAUCAAGAUAGAACAAAGUGUGUCCAUUUAAAAGACCUACUCAAUCCUCCCUUGUCAGAUAUGUGAUCUUGACUUCUCCGAGGCUUGUGUCAUUUUAAAAAAGAACGACGAUGCAAAGAAUAAAAGGCCGCUAUCAUGAUAAAAGACAUGUAAUACAUAAAUUUUCAACUCACCACAAACUUCUUAUAUCCUACGAGGACAAAACGUUGUAGACAUAAACAACUUCAAACAGCACUUGUACUUUUUAACUCUAACAAGGUAUUACGAAUGUAUCUGGGAAAUUCUAUAUUAAGUGAUUGUCGAAUGUGGAACUUUUUGAAUAAUGUACUUCCUAAUACUCCUUUCCUCAAUAUCAAUUAGUCUAAUUGUUUGGAAAUAGAUGAGUCAGGGUAUAUUGGGAUGUUAUCAACCGCAACCUAGUUUCCCUUAGUCAUUCAUAAAACAAAUGAAAAAAAAAUCCAUCAAAGAUAACGAACUUGUGCAUAAACUUUCUGUUAAUUACGACGAAGUAUUUGAAUGCACCGGGAGAACCCAUAGAACCAUGUGACGUAUACGUCUUUCAUUUGGGUCAUGAUUCGCCCGUGUGUGACCCAGACUCCCGCUGUCGUCAUGAGGCCCACCAAUGCGCACUCUCGUGACCCCGUGAUUUUUACAAAUCAAAAUACUUCAAACUGAUCGAAAUUUAUGUCUGACCAAACGCAAUCGUAACUACUGAUUUACAUAUAUGUCUUUAUCUAUUUGUAUUCUUGAAAACUGACGACCGCGCGUGUUACCCGAUUAAAUACUAUCGUUAAUUACAAUAUAAUAAUCCUACUAAUAGAGAAAAAAUUUAAUAACUAGCUUUAUCAAAUAGACUUUUUAAAACAAUCUCUAGUUGCCUGAGCCAAUCAAUUUUCUUCCGUUGAAAAAUCUUUGAUGUUUAAUCUGUUAUUCUGUUAUCAGUGAAACAAACACUCGACGGACGAACCGCCUUGUCGAGCGGCUCCUGUGCGACUAGUGGAUGCGUAUCAGGACGUGAGCUAGUCAGCUUUGCUCCUGCUCCCCAUUCCUCCCUCUUGCCCCGGUCGUCCCGUAUCCCGUCCUUGUUAUCAUCGAGUUGGGCCACGAGGCAACUUCCAGAGGAGGAUACUCUCGAUAACUCUCGCACACCAUCGGUGAACUUCGAAAUCCGCCUUUCACCACCCUCUUCAUCUUCCUCCCUUUGACUUUCUUCACGGAUCGUAUGAGCUCACGUAUGGCUGGUGUUUUACACUGUUACACGGUACCCGUAGAUGUCAUCGUAUUUUUUCUUCAACGGAAAUCAUUUUUAUUUACUCUUAUUUUAUCUGGAUUUUAUUCCCCCCAUAGCUGGAGGAGAAAAUAAGACCACCAUCGCCUACAAAUCAGCUAUUUAUGUUCUCCUUCAUCUUUCUAUGCAUAUUUGCUUUUGUGACAGCUGGUAUAUAUUGAUUUUUUCUUGUUGCAUAAACUUAAGCGAAAGCCAUGAGUGUGUAUUGUUAUGUUAAACAAUAAAAGCCUGUUGUACAAAAGGGAGGAAAAAGUCACUCCUUCGUGCACAGGAUGGACAUGCGCAUUCAUCGGGGUUUUAAUCGAUAGAAUAAAGAUUUCAUUGUUCAGACGGUAUAUUUCUUUUCAUACCACUCAUUUCUAUGGACAAUUGUUGUUAAUGAUCAGGUGUAAUUUUGUCGAGCAUGUGAUAUAGCUACGCACGCAAUGACGGAUAUUCAUGAGUUUUUUCGAGCUCGCGGAGAAAUGAUUGGCUCAUACAUUGGUAUUUUAUUUAUACUUAAUUGGAAGGCAAAUGUUAGGAUGUUUAAUUAACCAGGGAAAAAAGCUCUUUGGGGAGAUUUGCGGGAAUCGAUGUCAAAUACUAUAUAAAAUGAAAAUUUUCUGAAGAAUUUUACUUUUCCGAGAUAAAAUACGGGACCAUUUGGGAUUUUUAUUUCGGUGAUGAACCUGAGAAUUCGCUCGGCGUCUCGAAUUUCCUUCCUUUAUUCUUAUAAAUGGCGAAUUAACUAUUGCAAUAAACUAUUUAAAAGCAGCUCACUAUUGCCAAAAAUUGUAAUUUACAAGUGGUUCAUUGGUAUAUUAUAAUCUACUAAAGUCUUCCCUUUUUUCUAUGUUUUCCACCCAAAUUAACUGCAAUCCACUAAUUUUCUAUCGUCUAGUCAUAAUUGAAAUUUCCGCGCCAAGAAUUGGUGUCGGACAUGGCUGCCCCCUGAAUGCGCACCAGUGAAUUACGUGAAU